GUUACAGCCGCCGCGGUAGUACGUAGGGACCAAGCGUUGUUCGGAUUUACUGGGCGUAAAGGGCGCGUAGGCGGCAAAUUAAGUCAUCUGUGAAAUCUCCGAGCUUAACUCGGAACGGUCAGGUGAUACUGAUCUGCUAGAGUGCGGAAGGGGCAAUCGGAAUUCUUGGUGUAGCGGUGAAAUGCGUAGAUAUCAAGAGGAACACCUGAGGUGAAGACGGGUUGCUGGGCCGACACUGACGCUGACAGCGCGAAAGCCAGGGGAGCAAACGGGAUUAGAUACCCUGGUAGUCC
rnacentral:rRNA from 1 species